GACGUAGGGCGCGAGCGUUUGUCCGGAUUUAUUGGGCGUAAAGGGCUCGUAGGCGGUUUGUCGCGUCGGGAGUGAAAUCCACUGGCUUAACUGGUGGCUUGCUUUCGAUACGGGCAGACUGGAGGUAUGCAGGGGAGAACGGAAUUCCUGGUGUAGCGGUGAAAUGCGCAGAUAUCAGGAGGAACACCGGUGGCGAAGGCGGUUCUCUGGACCGUAGCUGACGCUGAGACACGAAAGCGUGGGUAGCAAACAGG
rnacentral:rRNA from 1 species